GGCCCUGUUCUCCCGGGCUUCCGGCUUGCCUUCUCUGCCUGGAACAUCUUCCUCUGGCUCUUUGCCUGUCUAACUCCUCAUCCUUGGAGACCACUCAGCUAUCUCUUCUUUAAGACUCCUUCUCUGACCACUAGGUUGGUCAGAGGCCCCUCCCCUGGGCUGUCUGAGGCACAGACCACACUGUGGCUGAUUACAGGCCUCCUCAACAAGCAGGAGGCCUCUGGAGGCCACAACAAUUCCUGGCCCACAGCAGAUCAGAUGAAUAAGACAUUGACCAAGUCCUCUGAACUUCUCUGAGGCUUGACUUUCUUGAUCAGUGACAAGGAGACCAGAUGACAAGAUCAGCUUACAUUAACACUGUAGCAAAUUGCUGGACCCUCUCUGUGCCUCUCAUUUUCAAAGGGGGUCCUAGCAGAAGAUGACCACUACAAGCCAGGAAGAGAGCCCUCAUGCAAACCCAACAUGCUGGCAACCAGACCUCACACUUCCAGCCCUCAGAAC